rnacentral:rRNA from 1 species
AUUGAACGCUGGCGGCAUGCUUUACGCAUGCAAGUCGAACGGCAGCGCGGGGCAACCUGGCGGCGAGUGGCGAACGGGUGAGUAAUAUAUCGGAACGUACCCAGAAGUGGGGGAUAACGUAGCGAAAGUUACGCUAAUACCGCAUACGAUCUACGGAUGAAAGUAGGGGACCGCAAGGCCUUAUGCUUUUGGAGCGGCCGAUAUCUGAUUAGCUAGUUGGUGAGGUAAAGGCUCACCAAGGCGACGAUCAGUAGCUGGUCUGAGAGGACGACCAGCCACACUGGAACUGAGACACGGUCCAGACUCCUACGGGAGGCAGCAGUGGGGAAUUUUGGACAAUGGGCGCAAGCCUGAUCCAGCAAUGCCGCGUGAGUGAAGAAGGCCUUCGGGUUGUAAAGCUCUUUUGUCAGGGAAGAAACGGUAGAGGCUAAUAUCCUUUGCUAAUGACGGUACCUGAAGAAUAAGCACCGGCUAACUACGUG